UGUGUGUGUGUGUGUGUGUGUGUGUGUGUGUGUGUGUGUGUGUUAACGUGUGCAGCAAGUAAAGUUUAUGUAUAGUAUCAGUGUGUGAUUGUACUGCAUAUAUAAGUAAAGAACAUAGGGGUGGCAGGCACUUUCUGAACUCCUGACCUUGUGGUGAACUUAGGCCCAUUGCCAUUCAGCAAGCAUCACUGUGAGCCUGCUAGCAAUGUUGGCUAAUUACAACUGUGAUGCUUGUUGCGCCCUGCACCCCCUCCUCCUGCCCCCGAUCUCCUCAGAGCCCUUGUGCAAAUGCAUGAGUGUGCGCCUGAUGCCUUUAGCACGACUCAAAGGAAACAAGGUCUAGACAGACACCAUCUCGGAUAAUCUCAUGCACAAACUCUUUCUCAACGGAGAACUAAAACCUUGUCUGGCAAGCACAUGUUUCAUGCUCGUCUAACUCCAAAAUUUUCACGUUUAGUUUUUAAUCAUGCUCGUUCCAGUUCAAGGGAAUAUGCGUAUAAUGAGUGUAAAUGGUGUCAAGGGGUUGUCCUGUCCGGGAAGAACUUCUUUUGUGUGGCCAAUAAAUACUGUAUGGAAACAAUUAUUUUAACACAUAACAUGAAAGAAGAGAUUAGCAUCUACUCUUCUGGUAAGAUUUUGAAGAUUCUCUGAUUUUCUUUUUUUAUUUAGUUUUUUGUUCGUUCAUCCAGACAAAUAGCAAUAAGGCACUACACUCUGUUGUACAGGACAUAGUUGAGGUCAGGGUCUCCACCUGUGAUCUUGUCCAAUAUAAUACAAUGUUGUCAAGGUAUUUUCUUGUAUCGACUGCCUUUUUUUUGUCUUUGGG